GGUGAGUAACACGUGGGUAACCUGCCUGUAAGACUGGGAUAACUCCGGGAAACCGGGGCUAAUACCGGAUAACUUCUUUCCUCGCAUGAGGAAAGAUUGAAAGAUGGCUUCGGCUAUCACUUACAGAUGGACCCGCGGCGCAUUAGCUAGUUGGUGAGGUAACGGCUCACCAAGGCGACGAUGCGUAGCCGACCUGAGAGGGUGAUCGGCCACACUGGGACUGAGACACGGCCCAGACUCCUACGGGAGGCAGCAGUAGGGAAUCUUCCGCAAUGGACGAAAGUCUGACGGAGCAACGCCGCGUGAGUGAUGAAGGUUUUCGGAUCGUAAAACUCUGUUGUUAGGGAAGAACAAGUAUCGUUCGAAUAGGGCGGUACCUUGACGGUACCUAACCAGAAAGCCACGGCUAACUACGUGCCAGCAGCCGCGGUAAUACGUAGGUGGCAAGCGUUGUCCGGAAUUAUUGGGCGUAAAGCGCGCGCAGGCGGUUUCUUAAGUCUGAUGUGAAAGCCCACGGCUCAACCGUGGAGGGUCAUUGGAAACUGGGAGACUUGAGUGCAGAAGAGGAGAGUGGAAUUCCACGUGUAGCGGUGAAAUGCGUAGAGAUGUGGAGGAACACCAGUGGCGAAGGCGACUCUCUGGUCUGUAACUGACGCUGAGGCGCGAAAGCGUGGGGAGCGAACAGGAUUAGAUACCCUGGUAGUCCACGCC
rnacentral:rRNA from 1 species